rnacentral:tRNA from 1 species
UGGCUCAGAGGUUAAAGCACCUGCCUGCAAUGCAGGAGACCUGGGUUCGAUCCCUG